GUAGAGGUGGCUCAUUGGGUAAAAGCACUUGCUUUGCAAGCAUGAUGACCUGAAUUCAAAUUCCUAGCAACUACC
rnacentral:tRNA from 1 species